rnacentral:rRNA from 1 species
AUUGAACGCUGGCGGCAUGCUUUACACAUGCAAGUCGAACGGCAGCGCGGGCUUCGGCCUGGCGGCGAGUGGCGAACGGGUGAGUAAUGCAUCUGAACGUGCCCAGUAGUGGGGGAUAGCCCGGCGAAAGCCGGAUUAAUACCGCAUACGACCUGAGGGUGAAAGCGGGGGACCGAAAGGCCUCGCGCUAUUUGAGCGGCCGAUGUCGGAUUAGCCAGUUUGUGGGGUAAAGGCUUACCAAGGCGACGAUCCGUAGCUGGUCUGAGAGGACGACCAGCCACACUGGGACUGGGACACGCACCAGACUCCUACGGGAGGCAGCAGUGGGGAAUGUUGGACAAUGGGGGCAACCCUGAUCCAGCCAUGCCGCGUGCGGGAAGAAGGCCUUCGGGGUGUAAACCGGUUUUGUUCGGGAAGAAAUCCUCUGGGCUAAUACGACGGGGGGAUGACGGUACCGGAAGAAGAAGCACCGGCUAACUACGUG